rnacentral:rRNA from 1 species
GAUGAACGCUGGCGGCGUGCCUAAUACAUGCAAGUCGAGCGAACAGAUAAGGAGCUUGCUCCUUUGACGUUAGCGGCGGACGGGUGAGUAACACGUGGGUAACCUACCUAUAAGACUGGGAUAACUUCGGGAAACCGGAGCUAAUACCGGAUAAUAUGUCGAACCGCAUGGUUCGAUAGUGAAAGAUGGUUUUGCUAUCACUUAUAGAUGGACCCGCGCCGUAUUAGCUAGUUGGUAAGGUAACGGCUUACCAAGGCGACGAUACGUAGCCGACCUGAGAGGGUGAUCGGCCACACUGGAACUGAGACACGGUCCAGACUCCUACGGGAGGCAGCAGUAGGGAAUCUUCCGCACUGGGCGAAAGCCUGACGGAGCAACGCCGCGUGAGUGAUGAAGGUCUUCGGAUCGUAAAACUCUGUUAUUAGGGAAGAACAUACGUGUAAGUAACUGUGCACGUCUUGACGGUACCUAAUCAGAAAGCCACGGCUAACUACGUG